rnacentral:lncRNA from 1 species
GGGUCGCACACGCUCUGUGGCGGUACCGAGCGCUCCGCUGCGCGGGAAAUGGCCUCCUGGCAGCAGCAACGCCCGCGUUCUCGUUGCCUGGCACCCUCUGGCCGUCCGGCCCGGUUCCCCGAGGUCGGGCCUGUUCUUUAUGCAAACCCUCGUGCGAACACGGUGGGUGCAGGCACAAAGCGAGGCCUCGGAAUGUGCAGAGCCGGGAAUCUGAAACAUCCCCCACGCCGACGGCUCAAACCCACUCCCGAGGAGAGGACAAAAGCACCGCGGAGGGCCGUGGCGUCCAGCAAGGAAGGGGUGCCUCGGUGAAUUUACACCAACAUGAGGGCUCCCCCGGCGCGUUCGCGUGCCGCCCCUCACUUUGCCCACUUUUCUCAUUUUAUACAAAAUGAAACCAAAGUUCAAGUCAUUCGAGCUUGUAGCAGAUGGACUUCUUCUCUGCAGAAGCGGCCUUUGACACCUCUAUGAUAGCGGGCCGGACUAUUUUUCUUACUUAAAAAAAAAAUAUUUACUUGGUUAUUUCCAAAGACUAAUUCCUAGACAGGGUCGCAGAGCGUGGGCGUUUCCUAAGACUGUUGAUGUGCGUUGCCAGACAGUUCUCUCCACAGGGCUUCUCCGUGGGGAGCAGGGAGCAGGGCUGCCCUCUUGGAUGGAGAAAUGUGACGCGCUAAGGAACACGUGCUUCUGUGGGAACUACUUACAGACGGGCAGUGGCAUUGGAAUGCUGGGCCCCACUCGAUGAAUAUGAGUGGGAACAUUGGUUGGGAACAUUGGUCAACCAGAUGGUCCUGGUCUGGCAAAUCCAAACAUGGUCCCCUCCUGCCUAACACCCUGGGGGAUUCCCCAUUUUCUUAGGGUAAAAUACAAAAUCUCCCCAGGUCUGCUCAGGCACUUUCUGCCUCCCCAGUCCUGAUAGGUGUUACCUAGCUAGUGGCAAACUGGAGGGGGUGGGUUGCGUUAAAGAACAGAAAUUUAUCCUCUCACAGUUCUGGAGGCCAGAAAUCUAUGAUGGUGGCGUAUAUAGUAUUGGUUCUUCCUGGAGGCUCUGGAGGACAAUCUGCG